rnacentral:rRNA from 1 species
GAUGAACGCUGGCGGCGUGCCUAAUACAUGCAAGUCGAGCGAACGGACGAGAAGCUUGCUUCUCUGAUGUUAGCGGCGGACGGGUGAGUAACACGUGGAUAACCUACCUAUAAGACUGGGAUAACUUCGGGAAACCGGAGCUAAUACCGGAUGAUAUUUUGAACCGCAUGGUUCAAAAGUGAAAGACGGUCUUGCUGUCACUUAUAGAUGGAUCCGCGCUGCAUUAGCUAGUUGGUAAGGUAACGGCUUACCAAGGCAACGAUGCAUAGCCGACCUGAGAGGGUGAUCGGCCACAAUGGAACUGAGACACGGUCCAGACUCCUACGGGAGGCAGCAGUAGGGAAUCUUCCGCAAUGGGCGAAAGCCUGACGGAGCAACGCCGCGUGAGCGAUGAAGGUCUUCGGAUCGUAAAACUCUGUUAUUAGGGAAGAACAUAUGUGUAAGUAACUGUGCACAUCUUGACGGUACCUAAUCAGAAAGCCACGGCUAACUACGUG